rnacentral:rRNA from 1 species
AACACGUGGCUAACCUGCCCUUGGGACAGGGAUAACCCCGGGAAACUGGGGCUAAUACUUGAUAGGUGAGAACUCCUGGAAUAGAUUCUCGCUGAAAGGGCGUCUAGAUCAUGCUUUUAGGCGUCGCCCAAGGAGGGGGCCGCGGCCGAUCAGGUUGUUGGUGAGGUAACGGCUCACCAAGCCUUUAACCGGUACGGGCCGUGAGAGCGGUAGCCCGGAGAUGGGUACUGAGACAAGGGCCCAGGCCCUACGGGGCGCAGCAGUCGCGAAAACUCACCAAUUCACGAAAGUGUGAGUGGGCCAUCCCGAGUGCCGUCCGCUGAGGAUGGCUUUUCCUUAGUGUACAAAGCUGGGGGAAUAAGGAGAGGGCAAGUCUGGUGUCAGCCGCCGCGGUAAUACCAGCUCUCCGAGUGGUGGGGAUGUUUAUUGGGCCUAAAGCAUUCGUAGCCUGCUGGGCAAGUCCUCCGUUAAAUCCAACGAUUCAAUCGUUGGGCCGCGGGGGAUACUGUUCGGCUAGGGGGCGGAAGAGGUCGACGGUAUUCUCGGGGUAGGGGUGAAAUCCUAUAAUCCCGGGAGGACCACCAGUGGCGAAGGCUGUCGGCUAGAACGCGCCCGACGGUGAGGGAUGAAAGCUGGGGGAGCGAACCGGAUUAGAUACCCGGGUAGUCCCAGCCGUAAACGAUGCAGGCUAGGUGUUGGCGCGGCUACGUGCCGCUCCAGUGCCGCAGGGAAGCCGUUAAGCCUGCCGCCUGGGAAGUACGGCCGCAAGGCUGAAACUUAA